ACGGGAGGCAGCAGUGGGGAAUAUUGGGCAAUGGGCGCAAGCCUGACCCAGCAACGCCGCGUGAGGGAAGAAGGCUUUCGGGUUGUAAACCUCUGUCCUUGGUGGCGAAGGAAGUGACGGUAGCCAAGGAGGAAGCCCCGGCUAACUACGUGCCAGCAGCCGCGGUAAUACGUAGGGGGCGAGCGUUGUCCGGAAUUACUGGGCGUAAAGGGUGCGUAGGCGGCACACUAAGUUGGAUGUGAAACCCCCGGGCUCAACCUGGGACCUGCAUCCAAUACUGGCGUGCUAGAGUGCAGGAGAGGAAAGCGGAAUUCCUAGUGUAGCGGUGAAAUGCGUAGAUAUUAGGAGGAACACCAGUGGCGAAGGCGGCUUUCUGGACUGUAACUGACGCUGAGGCACGAAAGCGUGGGGAGCAAACAGGAUUAGAUACCCUGGUA
rnacentral:rRNA from 1 species